GAUGAAAGGGACAGGUAAAUGCUAAAGAAGGCUCUACGUGGUGUUCGUGCAGUAAUAUGCCCAAAUGAAGGUUUUGUAUCAAAUAUAGAGAGUUGGAAAGGUUUACAACAUGUGAUCCUAUUAUCUCAGAGGUUCUAGCGGGGUUCAAGCAAUUGUUACUGCCAAUGCAAGAAAACAGGCAGAACAAGAUGAAUCACUGGUUCUGGCUUCAGGAAUCCCUUACACCAUUAUUAGAACUGGCUUGUUGGUAAAUGCACCGGGUGGAAAUCAAGGUUUCAACUUUAAAGAGGGCUGUGCAUCACAAGGAAAGCUGAGCAAGGAGGAUGCCGCUUUUAUCUGUGUAGAGGCUCUUGACACUGUGCCAA